UACGGGGGGUGCAAGCGUUUAAUCGGAAUUACUGGGCGUAAAGGGUGCGUAGGUGGUUUAAUAAGUUAGCUGUGAAAUUCCUGGGCUCAACCUAGGGUGGUCAGCUAAGACUGUUAGACUCGAGUAUGGGAGAGGGUAGUGGAAUUUCCGGUGUAGCGGUGAAAUGCGUAGAGAUCGGAAGGAACACCAGUGGCGAAGGCGGCUACCUGGCCUAAUACUGACACUGAGGCACGAAAAGCGUGGGGAGCAAACAGG
rnacentral:rRNA from 1 species